AUAUCAAUAAGCGGAGGAAAAGAAACCAACAGGGAUUGCCCUAGUAACGGCGAGUGAAGCGGCAACAGCUCAAAUUUGAAAUCUGGCUCCUUCGGGGUCCGAGUUGUAAUUUGCAGAGGAUGCUUUUGGUUAGGUGCCUUCCGAGUUCCCUGGAACGGGACGCCACAGAGGGUGAGAGCCCCGUACUGUUG
rnacentral:rRNA from 1 species